rnacentral:rRNA from 1 species
GAUUCUGGCUCAGGAUGAACGCUAGCGACAGGCUAACACAUGCAAGUCGAGGGGCAGCACGGGAGUAGCAAUACUUGGUGGCGACCGGCGCACGGGUGAGUAACGCGUAUGCAACCUACCUAUCAGAGGGGAAUAACCCGGCGAAAGUCGGACUAAUACCGCAUAAAACAGGGGCACCGCAUGGUGAUAUUUGUUAAAGAAAUUCGCUGAUAGAUGGGCAUGCGUUCCAUUAGGUAGUUGGUGAGGUAACGGCUCACCAAGCCGACGAUGGAUAGGGGAACUGAGAGGUUGGUCCCCCACACUGGUACUGAGACACGGACCAGACUCCUACGGGAGGCAGCAGGUGAGGAAUAUUGGUCAAUGGGCGGGAGCCUGAACCAGCCAAGUCGCGUGAAGGAAGAAGGAUCUAUGGUUCGUAAACUUCUUUUGCAGGGGAAUAAAGUGCAGGACGUGUCCUGUUUUGUAUGUACCCUGAGAAUAAGGAUCGGCUAACUCCGUGCCAGCAGCGGC